CGAGUUAUAGAGCGGAAGGGAAAUAUGAUCAAGGUCAAGGUAAAGGUAAAGGUCAAAUAAAGGUCGUAGUGACCUGGUUUUGGUACGCGACAGCACCUUUCUCCCAAGAUGGUUAUAGUAUACCAAG